rnacentral:lncRNA from 1 species
AUUUAUAGGUUUUUUGUGAGAGGCAGUAACGGUCCGUAAUUUGACCGCGGCGCAUUGCUCUCUCCAUGCAAUAUUGGGUGUGAUAUGUUUCUCUCUCCACACUAUAUAGGACACAACGUAGAGUUUAUUCCCCUCUGUUUCAGCUUCAUAAGGGUCAAGGGGCACUUUGGUCCUUUCCCCUUAUCCCUAAUCGUCCCAA